rnacentral:rRNA from 1 species
AGAGUUUGAUCAUGGCUCAGGACGAACGCUGGCGGCGUGCUUAACACAUGCAAGUCGAACGGAAAGGCCCUUUCGGGGGUGCUCGAGUGGCGAACGGGUGAGUAACACGUGGGUGAUCUGCCCUGCACUUUGGGAUAAGCCUGGGAAACUGGGUCUAAUACCGGAUAGGACUACGAAUCGCAUGGUUUGUGGUGGAAAGCUUUUGCGGUGUGGGAUGGGCCCGCGGCCUAUCAGCUUGUUGGUGGGGUGAUGGCCUACCAAGGCGACGACGGGUAGCCGGCCUGAGAGGGUGUCCGGCCACACUGGGACUGAGAUACGGCCCAGACUCCUACGGGAGGCAGCAGUGGGGAAUAUUGCACAAUGGGCGCAAGCCUGAUGCAGCGACGCCGCGUGAGGGAUGACGGCCUUCGGGUUGUAAACCUCUUUCACUAGGGACGAAGCGCAAGUGACGGUACCUGGAGAAGAAGCACCGGCCAACUACGUGCCAGCAGCCGCGGUAAUACGUAGGGUGCGAGCGUUGUCCGGAAUUACUGGGCGUAAAGAGCUCGUAGGUGGUUUGUCGCGUUGUCCGUGAAAACUCGCAGCUUAACUGUGGGCGUGCGGGCGAUACGGGCAGACUGGAGUACUGCAGGGGAGACUGGAAUUCCUGGUGUAGCGGUGGAAUGCGCAGAUAUCAGAGGAACACCGGUGGCGAAGGCGGGUCUCUGGGCAGUAACUGACGCUGAGGAGCGAAAGCGUGGGGAGCGAACAGGAUUAGAUACCCUGUAGUCCACGCCGUAAACGGUGGGUACUAGGUGUGGGUUUCCUUCCUUGGGAUCCGUGCCGUAGCUAACGCAUUAAGUACCCCGCCUGGGGAGUACGGCCGCAAGGCUAAAACUCAAAGGAAUUGACGGGGGCCCGCACAGCGGCGGAGCAUGUGGAUUAAUUCGAUGCAACGCGAAGAACCUUACCUGGGUUUGACAUG